CAACUUUCAACAACGGAUCUCUUGGUUCUGGCAUCGAUGAAGAACGCAGGGAAAUGCGAUAAGUAGUGUGAAGAGCAGAAUUCAGUGAAUCAUGGAAUCUUUGAACGCACAUUGCGCCCCUUGGUAUUCCAUGGGGCAUGCCUGUUCGAGCGUCAUU
rnacentral:rRNA from 1 species